GAUGAACGCUGGCGGCGUGCCUAAUACAUGCAAGUCGAGCGAACAGACGAGGAGCUUGCUCCUCUGACGUUAGCGGCGGACGGGUGAGUAACACGUGGAUAACCUACCUAUAAGACUGGGAUAACUUCGGGAAACCGGAGCUAAUACCGGAUAUAUAUUGAACCGCAUGGUUCAAUAGUGAAAGACGGUUUUGCUGUCACUUAUAGAUGGAUCCGCGCCGCAUUAGCUAGUUGGUAAGGUAACGGCUUACCAAGGCAACGAUGCGUAGCCGACCUGAGAGGGUGAUCGGCCACACUGGAACUGAGACACGGUCCAGACUCCUACGGGAGGCAGCAGUAGGGAAUCUUCCGCAAUGGGCGAAAGCCUGUCGGAGCAACGCCGCGUGAGUGAUGAAGGUCUUCGGAUCGUAAAACUCUGUUAUUAGGGAAGAACAAAUGUGUAAGUAACUAUGCACGUCUUGACGGUACCUAAUCAGAAAGCCACGGCUAACUACGUG
rnacentral:rRNA from 1 species